UUGCUUCUACACUGUGAAAAUUUGGAUGAGAGACUCAGACUGGUCAUGGGUAGACCUAUCUGGGGUUUGAUCGAUGCCACUCCUGGUUUCAGGAGUACCCUUCAUAAUAAACCUAGAAAUUCAGUAUUAUAAAGUUUAAU
rnacentral:rRNA from 1 species